GGAGAGAUGCCGGAGUGGUUGAACGGGGCGGUCUCGAAAACCGCUAUCCCGAUUUUCGGGAUCGGAGGUUCGAAUCCUCCUCUCUCCG
rnacentral:tRNA from 2 species